rnacentral:tRNA from 1 species
CGGGGCGUGGCGCAGCCCGGUAGCGCACCGGUCUGGGGGACCGGCGGUCGGAGGUUCAAAUCCUCUCGCCCCGACCA